UACGGAGGGUGCAAGCGUUAAUCGGAAUUACUGGGCGUAAAGCGUGCGUAGGCGGUUCGUUAAGUCUGUUGUGAAAGCCCCCGGGCUCAACCUGGGAAUGGCAAUGGAUACUGGCGAGCUAGAGUGUGUCAGAGGAUGGUGGAAUUCCCGGUGUAGCGGUGAAAUGCGUAGAGAUCGGGAGGAACAUCAGUGGCGAAGGCGGCCAUCUGGGACAACACUGACGCUGAGGCACGAAGCGUGGGGAGCAAACAGG
rnacentral:rRNA from 1 species